AGUGGCGAACGGGUGAGUAAUGUAUCGGAACGUGCCCAGUCGUGGGGGAUAACGCAGCGAAAGCUGCGCUAAUACCGCAUACGAUCUAUGGAUGAAAGCGGGGGACCGUAAGGCCUCGCGCGAUUGGAGCGGCCGAUAUCAGAUUAGGUAGUUGGUGGGGUAAAGGCUCACCAAGCCAACGAUCUGUAGCUGGUCUGAGAGGACGACCAGCCACACUGGGACUGAGACACGGCCCAGACUCCUACGGGAGGCAGCAGUGGGGAAUUUUGGACAAUGGGCGCAAGCCUGAUCCAGCAAUGCCGCGUGCAGGAAGAAGGCCUUCGGGUUGUAAACUGCUUUUGUACGGAACGAAACGGUCCUGGUUAAUACCUGGGGCUAAUGACGGUACCGUAAGAAUAAGCACCGGCUAACUACGUGCCAGCAGCCGCGGUAAUACGUAGGGUGCAAGCGUUAAUCGGAAUUACUGGGCGUAAAGCGUGCGCAGGCGGUUUUGUAAGACAGGCGUGAAAUCCCCGGGCUUAACCUGGGAAUGGCGCUUGUGACUGCAAAGCUGGAGUGCGGCAGAGGGGGAUGGAAUUCCGCGUGUAGCAGUGAAAUGCGUAGAUAU
rnacentral:rRNA from 1 species